AUAAUGUCGCAAGACCAAAGUGGGGGACCUUCGGGCCUCAUGCCAUCAGAUGUGCCCAGAUGGGAUUAGCUAGUAGGUGGGGUAACGGCUCACCUAGGCAACGAUCCCUAGCUGGUCUGAGAGGAUGACCAGCCACACUGGAACUGAGACACGGUCCAGACUCCUACGGGAGGCAGCAGUGGGGAAUAUUGCACAAUGGGCGCAAGCCUGAUGCAGCCAUGCCGCGUGUGUGAAGAAGG
rnacentral:rRNA from 1 species